AAUUGAAUGCUAAAAGAAUGGAAAGUUAAAUAAAAGCUUUCUUUAUAUUAAAAAUUGAAUUUAUUUUUGUUUGUGAAGAAACAAUUAUGAAAAUUUGGGACAAGAAGACCCUAAGAAUUUUUAAUGAAUAUUUUGUAUAAAUUUAUAUGUUAUUAUUCAUUUAAUUGGGGCGAUUAAAAAAUAUAAAUAACUUUUUUUUUAAAAAAAAGAUCCAUUAUUAAUGAUAAUUUGAAAAAAAUACUCUAGGGAUAACAGCGUAAUAAUUUUAGAUAGUUCUUAUAGAAAAAAUAGUUUGCGACCUCGAUGUUGGAUUAGGAUACUUUUUUAAUGAAGAAGUUAAAGAAAGAAGUUUGUUCAACUUUUAAAUUCCUACUUGAUC
rnacentral:rRNA from 1 species